rnacentral:rRNA from 1 species
AUUGAACGCUGGCGGCAGGCCUAACACAUGCAAGUCGAGCGAGCGGCGGACGGGUGAGUAAUGUCUGGGAAACUGCCUGAUGGAGGGGGAUAACUACUGGAAACGGUAGCUAAUACCGCAUACCAUCAGAUGUGCCCAGAUGGGAUUAGAUAGUGGGUGGGGUAAAGGCUAACCUAGGCGACGAUACCUAGCUGGUCUGGGAGGAUGACCAGGCACACUGGAACUGAGACACGGUACAGACUCCUACGGGGGGCAGACGUGGGGAAUAUUGGACAAUGGGCGAAAGCCUGAUGCAGCCAGGCCGCGUGUGUGAAGAAGGCCUUCGGGGUGUAAAGCACUUUCAGCGGGGAGGCGUUACCCGCAGAAGAAGCACCGGCUAACUCCGUGCCAGCAGCCGCGGUAAUAC